GUGAUCCUACGGGAGGCAGCAGUGGGGAAUAUUGCGCAAUGGGCGAAAGCCUGACGCAGCGACGCCGCGUGAGGGAUGAAGGUCUUCGGAUCGUAAACCUCUGUCAGCAGGGAAGAACGGUCACGGUGGUAAUCAGCAGUGAAUUGACGGUAUCUGCAAAGGAAGCACCGGCUAACUCCGUGCCAGCAGCAGCGGUAAUACGGAGGGGGCGAGCGUUAAUCGGAAUUACUGGGCGUAAAG
rnacentral:rRNA from 1 species